UUAAUUUAGUAUUUAAUUAUGGUACAUCCAUAUAGGUAUCUAGGUAUUUUAACACAUGCAAGUUGAAUGAUUUUUUAAAUCAUAGCGUACGGGUCAGUGUGAUUGAGAAAUAGCCUUGGAGAUCAUUGAAAUAAUGAAUAAUCAAAGGAAUAAUUUCCGCUCUGAGAUUAUCUCAAUUCCCAGUCAGGUAGUUGGAGAGGUAAAGCGUUACAAGCCGAUGACGGGGAAUGUUAAAUGAGAGUUUUAACGUGACAGUGGAAAUGAGAAAUUUCUAAAGCAUCUACGAUGUGCAGCAGUGAAGAAAAUUGGUCAAUGCGCUAAAGCGUGAACCAGUGACCUAGAUUUUUAGUUUUACAAAAUGUAAAAUAAUAAUAAUUAAUUAUUAAAUGAUGAUUAUAAUUAAUAUAAGUCCUUUCUAAUCCCCGUGCCAGCAGAAGCGGCUAAACGGGAAGGGCAACCUAUCGGAGAUAUGAGUAGGUGUAAAGGGUACGUAGCCGGUUCUUAGAGACAGUAGGAACUAGAAUUUGAUAGAGGUAAACAACAAUUAUUUAAGGAGCGCUAAAAUGCAAUCAUCUUGAGAGGAGUGUUCAAAGCGAAGGCAUGUUACCAGGUACAAAUUGACGGUGAGAGUACGAAGGCAUGAGAAUACAACGGGAUUAGAUACCCCAUUAUUUUAUGCUGUCAACGAUGCAAACCAAUUAUUAGUAAUCUAUUACUAGUGAUGAUUUUAACAAGUUAAGUUUGCCACCUGUAGAGUAUAGCGGCAUUGCGGAAAUACAAAUAAUUAGACGGCUUUAAAGCAAACGGAGUGGAGCAUGUUGUUUAAUUCGAUUUUACGCGUAAAAUCUUACCAGUUUAUUCUUGCAUUAUUAUUCCAUAUUAGUUAUGUAAAUAACUAUAAUGAAUUUAUGAAUUAAAAAUAAAUUCGAGAUGGAUGUAACAGGUAUUGCAUGGUUGUCGUCAGUUAGUGCUAGUGAGACGAAUGGUUAAUUCCUUUUAAUUAAAACUAACGCGAUCCUUGUUAUAAAAUGAUAAAACUUUAUAAUAUCUGAUCAUUAUUAAUAAAUGUAAAUCUUUAUAUUUAUUAAUAUAAUAAUUGCAAAUCUAUAUUAUUAAGAUCAUAUCCUAAUAAUAGCAAUUAUUUAUUUAUUUAUUUAAUAUGAUGCUCAGAUGAUGGGUAACACUUGAAAGGGUUAUGACAAAUCAAUAUGAUCCAUAUGAUCUGGGCUAUAGACGUGCUACAAGAAUAAUAAACAAAAUGAUGCAAAUUCGCGAGAAUGAGCUAACCAUUAAAUAUUAUUAACCUUCCGGAUUGAAGGCUGGAAUUCGCCUUUAUGAAGUAGGAAUUUCGAGUAAUCGUGAAUUAGAAUGUCACGGUGAAGACAAAUCUUUAGAGUGUACUAACUGCUCAUCACAGGAUGAAAGAUCUGGUGGGAUGAAAUUGGGCUAGACAAGUAACUAUAUCUUAAAGUUUUUUAAAACACUAAUUAAUAUUAGUAAUGUUGUAAGUCUGGCAGUGUGAUUUCUACGGAUUGAUUAUUUUGAAGUUGAAACAAGGUUGUGCUAAGGGAACUUGGUGCAGAUAGUUGAAAUGU
rnacentral:rRNA from 1 species